UACGGGGGGAGCAAGCGUUGUUCGGAUUUACUGGGCGUAAAGGGCGCGUAGGCGGCGCAACAAGUCACUUGUGAAAUCUCCGGGCUUAACCCGGAGCGGCCAAGUGAUACUGUCGUGCUAGAGUGCGGAAGGGGCUACUGGAAUUCUCGGUGUAGCGGUGAAAUGCGUAGAUAUCUAGAGGAACGCCAAAGGUGAAGACAGGCGACUGGGCCGAUUCUGACGCUGAGGCACGAAAGCGUGGGUAGCGAACGGG
rnacentral:rRNA from 1 species